GACGAACGCUGGCGGCGUGCCUAAUACAUGCAAGUAGAACGCUGAAGAGAGGAGCUUGCUCUUCUUGGAUGAGUUGCGAACGGGUGAGUAACGCGUAGGUAACCUGCCUUGUAGCGGGGGAUAACUAUUGGAAACGAUAGCUAAUACCGCAUAACAAUGGAUGACACAUGUCAUUUAUUUGAAGGGGCAAUUGCUCCACUACAAGAUGGACCUGCGUUGUAUUAGCUAGUAGGUGAGGUAAUGGCUCACCUAGGCGACGAUACAUAGCCGACCUGAGAGGGUGAUCGGCCACACUGGGACUGAGACACGGCCCAGACUCCUACGGGAGGCAGCAGUAGGGAAUCUUCGGCAAUGGGGGCAACCCUGACCGAGCAACGCCGCGUGAGUGAAGAAGGUUUUCGGAUCGUAAAGCUCUGUUGUAAGUCAAGAACGGGUGUGAGAGUGGAAAGUUCACACUGUGACGGUAGCUUACCAGAAAGGGACGGCUAACUACGUG
rnacentral:rRNA from 1 species